GACGAACGCUGGCGGCGUGCUUAACACAUGCAAGUCGAACGGAAAGGCCCUGCUUUUGUGGGGUGCUCGAGUGGCGAACGGGUGAGUAACACGUGAGUAACCUGCCCUUGACUUUGGGAUAACUUCAGGAAACUGGGGCUAAUACCGGAUAGGAGCUCCUGCUGCAUGGUGGGGGUUGGAAAGUUUCGGCGGGUGGGGAUGGACUCGCGGCUUAUCAGCUUGUUGGUGGGGUAGUGGCUUACCAAGGCUUUGACGGGUAGCCGGCCUGAGAGGGUGACCGGCCACAUUGGGACUGAGAUACGGCCCAGAGUCCUACGGGGGGCAGCAGUGGGGAAUAUUGCACAAUGGGCGGAAGCCUGAUGCAGCAACGCCGCGUGCGGGAUGACGGCCUUCGGGUUGUAAACCGCUUUCGCCUGUGACGAAGCGUGAGUGACGGUAAUGGGUAAAGAAGCACCGGCUAACUACGUG
rnacentral:rRNA from 1 species